rnacentral:rRNA from 1 species
AACGAACGCUGGCGGCAUGCCUAACACAUGCAAGUCGAACGAGACCUUCGGGUCUCGUGGCGCACGGGUGCGUAACGCGUGGGAACCUGCCCUUAGGUUCGGAAUAACUCCCCGAAAGGGGUGCUAAUACCGGAUAAUGUCUUCGGACCAAAGAUUUAUCGCCUUUGGAUGGGCCCGCGUUGGAUUAGCUAGUUGGUAGGGUAAAAGCCUACCAAGGCGACGAUCCAUAGCUGGUCUGAGAGGAUGAUCAGCCACACUGGGACUGAGACACGGCCCAGACUCCUACAGGAGGCAGCAGUGGGGAAUAGUGGACAAUGGGCGAAAGCCUGAUCCAGCAAUGCCGCGUGAGUGAUGAAGGCCUUAGGGUUGUAAAGCUCUUUUACCCGGGAUGAUAAUGACAGUACCGGGAGAAUAAGCGCCGGCUAACUCCGUG